UUUGAUUACGUAUGAAUAGAUGAUGUUGAGAACAAUGCGUAAUGAGAGCAAAACAAUAUUGGAAUGCCUGACGUCAGAGAAAUUUAAAGAUAUCCUUAAGUAUAACUUACAUCUUGUUCUGGACUUGGAGGUCCUGCUUUUUUUGGUUUAGUAAUAGCAGCAAGCUCAGGAAUAGGAAGACAAAGUGGUCGCUUUGAUCCAUAUAAAGUGUAAUAUAAAUCAACUAGAUCACAUCGGAUUUUAGGAUCAUGAGAGAGCAUGCCACUAUACGGUCAACCAAUUCAGAACGGUCUAAACGAUGUUUAUGCGCCCUUUCAAACGGUGGGUUUUCAACCAUAAGCCUCACUAAUCUAUGUUGUACUCCAGGAUGAGGAUCCAUUUCUAUCAUAUCUAACAAAAAUUCUAAAUCUUCCCAUUUACCAUCUACUCUGGUAAAGUCUACUAAUGCCUCUAAAGCUGCAAUCCUAACAUCUAAAACAAUUAUGAUAAACUAUGAAUUUCGGCAUUAUUAAUAUGUUUGAUAUAAAAUAUAAAACACCUUAUAUACCUAUGAAUUGUCCAUAUGUAGCAUAUGCUCUAAAAAGGUGAGGAUUACUUGGCAGAUGACCAAACUUUUGUAAAAUUCUAAUGACUUUAAUACAAGCAACACUGAUUGUGUAUUUAUAGCAAGGUAAUAAUUUUUCCAAAUUUAAAUUUCUGGUGACUUCCUCUAAUAUAGCUUUAGUAUCAACUGAUAGAGAUUCAGCAUUAAUAGCAGUCCUAAAAAAAGAUUAAUAUAUACAUAAUCACAAAAGUAUACUAUAUGUUACUUUUUAAUGUUUAUUAUACCCUUGCUGCACACUGAUUACAGGUGUAACAGUAGCUCCAAGUGCUUCAAUUAAUGCAGCUCGAUAAUAAUUAUCCGAAUAUCUAUUUUUACUGUUGUCAUUGUAUUUAAAUAAAUCCAUCAAAAAAGCCAAAACUUCUGGCGGGCAUAUACCGUGAGCAUUACGUAAACCAGCCAUCGCCACAGCCCGUUUAUCAUAGAAAACAUUAGUCAAACCUUUUGUAAAAAAUAAUGUUGGAAAUUUGAGAAAUUAUUCUGUUUAAUUAUCCGUCUGCAUGAAGCCGAACCAAAUAAUUUCCGAAAUAUGGCUAACAUUGCUGGUGGGCCAGCCCAAGUUGCAACCAUUGCAUUAGCUACCUAUAAUAUUUAUUAAUAUAAGAGAAUUGUAUGUAAAAAAGUAAUUUUAAAUCAUGAAUAUUUAAAAUAUAGAUAACCUUAGUUAAACAA